rnacentral:rRNA from 1 species
AGCAGCCGCGGUAAUUCCAGCUCCAAUAGCGUAUAUUAAAGUUGUUGCAGUUAAAAAGCUCGUAGUUGAAUUUCGAGACCGGCUUACUGGUCGUGCUAUUGUACGUACUGGUAUAAUCGGUUUCUCCUUUCUGACGAACUAUAAUGCCAUUAAUUUGGUGUUUUAGGGAAUCAGGACUGUUACUUUGAAAAAAUUAGAGUGUUUAAAGCAGGCUCACGCUUGAAUACAUUAGCAUGGAAUAACGGAAUAGGACGUUUGAUUCUAUUUUGUUGGUUUCUAGGAUCGACGUAAUGAUUAAUAGGGAUAGUUGGGGGCAUUAGUAUUCAAUUGUCAGAGGUGAAAUUCUUGGAUUUAUUGAAGACUAACUACUGCGAAAGCAUUUGCCAAGGAUGUUUUCAUUAAUCAAGAACGAAAGUUAGGGGAUCGAAGACGAUCAGAUACCGUCGUAGUCUUAACCAUAAACUAUGCCGACUAGGGAUCGGAUGAUGUUAAUUUUUUAAUGACUCAUUCGGCGCCCUUA